CAACGAGCUUAGCCUUGGCCGAGAGGCCCGGGUAAUCUUUGAAACUGCAUCGUGAUGGGGAUAGAUUAUUGCAAUUAUUAAUCUUCAACGAGGAAUGCCUAGUAAGCGCAAGUCAUCAGCUUGCGUUGAUUACGUCCCUGCCCUUUGUACACACCGCCCGUCGCUCCUACCGAUUGGGUGUGCUGGUGAAGUGUUCGGAUUGGCGACCUGGGGCGGUCUCCGCUCUCGGCCGCCGAAAAGUUCAUUAAACCCUCCCACCUAGAGGAAGGAGAAGUCGUAACAAGGUUUCCGUAGGUGAACCUGCGGAAGGAUCAUUGAAUCUAUCGAAUCCACCCUGGUAACCAACUUCCCUCGCCCCCUUUCGGGGGGGUGGGCGUCGGUCCCCUGGCUGGGGCUCUGCCGCAGUUCAGGUCCGACGGGCGUCCCUCCAAAUGUAUUUUUGGAUGCGGACGUUGGUAAUUUGUAUUCAACUUUAACCCACCCCAAACCCCAACUUUCACUGAAGCAAUCGUGACAGCCGGCCCCGCCGCCUGUUCACUCAAACUAAAGACAACUCUCAACAACGGAUAUCUUGGCUCCCGUAUCGAUGAAGAACGCAGCGAAAUGCGAUACGUAGUGUGAAUUGCAGAAUUCCGUGAACCAUCGAAUCUUUGAACGCAAAUUGCGCCCGAGGCUUCGGCCGAGGGCAUGCCUGCCUCAGCGUCGGUUUACACCCUCGCUCGCCCCCCUCUUGAGGGAGGAGAGCGGACCUGGCCCUCCCGGCUCGGCCUUCGUUUGCGAAGGUCUCCGGGUUGGCUGAAGCAUAGAGGCUUGAGCAUGGACCCCGUUUGCAGGGCAAUGGCUUGGUAGGUAGGCACCCCCUACGCACGCCUGCCGUUGCCCGAGGGGACUUUGCUGGAGGCCCAGCAGGAAUCGGGGUCGGCUCCGGCCGCCCCGACCACUCACACCUUCGACCUGAGCUCAGGCAAGACUACCCGCUGAACUUAAGCAUAUCAAUAAGCGGAGGAAAAGAAACUAACUAGGAUGCCCUUAGUAACGGCGAGCGAACCGGGCAGAGCCCAACUUGAAAAUCUCCAGCCUCCGGCUGGCGAAUUGUAGUCUAGAGAAGUGCUCUCUGCACCAGUCUGGCCCCAAGUCCCCUGGAAAGGGGCGUCAGAGAGGGUGAGAACCCCGUUGGGACCGGAGCCUGGUGCUCCACGAGACGCUUUCGCAGAGUCGGGUUGUUUGGGAAUGCAGCCCAAAGCAGGUGGUAAUC
rnacentral:sRNA from 1 species